ACGCCAGCCUGGGUGACCAAAUGAGACCCUGUCUCUAAAAAAAUUAAAAAUAAAAUAAACCCAUUGCACUCCAGAUGUGCUGACCCCUGCAAUUUCCUCAAAUGUGGGAAACUCAACUGCAUAAUUUGUGGUAGUGGGGGACUGUUUGUGCUCUCCCCUG
rnacentral:snRNA from 1 species